GGUGAACGCUGGCGGCGUGCCUAACACAUGCAAGUCGAGCGGUGCAGUUUGAAGCUUCGGUGGAAAGCUGCAUAGCGGCGGACGGGUGAGGAAAACGUAGGAACGUGCCCCUUGGAGUUGGAUAGCCACGGGAAACUGUGGGUAAACCGACAUAGACUCGAGAGAGUAAAGGCCGAAAGGUGCCAAGGGAGCGGCCUGCGGCCCAUCAGGUAGUUGGUAGGUGUAAAGGACUACCAAGCCGACGACGGGUAGCCGGUCUGAGAGGAUGGCCGGCCACAAGGGCACUGAGAGACGGGCCCUACUCCUACGGGAGGCAGCAGUGGGGGAUUUUGGACAAUGGGCGAAAGCCUGAUCCAGCGACGCCGCGUGGAGGACGAAGCCCUUCGGGGUGUAAACUCCUUUUCUCAGGGAAAAAGGAUGAUGGUACCUGAGGAAUAAGCCCCGGCUAACUACGUG
rnacentral:rRNA from 1 species